ACAAUAGUUUCGUCUUACAAUUGGUCUGGAGAUUUAUGUGUUGAUCAUGGUCAUGUAAAUACAUCAUUAAAUAAAGAGAGAGACGCUUGUUUUUGGUUGAGUCCAUUAUGUUUUAUCUAGGGGUGAAAUGUAAAACCUUUAUUUACAAUUUAUAUAACAUUUAAUGUUUUCGGUAAUUUUAAGAUUUGUGUUAAUUCUGGAAUUGUUUCAACAUAUUUUUUUCGGGGAUUAAAUUGUGAUUAAAACAAUUAAAGUCAGAACUGCAAUGGAAAUAACUUAGUCCACACCUAUGUUGAUUUGAUCACGUGACAAUGUAAGCCAAUGAAAAAACAUCAACAAACAGGCAGCCAUUAAGGAAGAGAGAGGGUUUAUUUCAGAGCGAUAAUUUAAAUGUACUAGCAAGUUUAAACUGCACUCCACCAUGCACUCUUGAUGUAGAGUACUCCUACCCUUUGGAUUAUGCCCAGCAAGUGCACUAUCCCAAUUCCCUAUUCUCAAUAUGUUGGUUCAAUAUGUAUUAGGACACCAAGAAAGUUCCAUGAGAUUUGUGUUUGUGCAGAGGGAUCAGGACUUAAUGGAAGUGUCAGUCUCAACAUGCUCUGGAAAGGGGAGAAACAAUGCAACAGGUUGCCAGUAUUGUCCUGCAGACAUCAAGACAUGGUCACAAUAUCCCACUGCUUAUAGAUGAUCUAAAAAGCCAUUGAAAGUCAUUUUAAUAGUAAAACCCCUGAGGCCUGCUGCUAUAAGGACUAAUGCUAUAUUGACUAGUGUGUGGAUAUUA